rnacentral:rRNA from 1 species
CGGCUGGUCAGUAUUUUACCAAUGACCAAAUCAAAGAAAUGACUCGCAAGGUUAGUGCUGAGGUUGACUUAGUUCAUCAGCAAACGCAGAAUCAGCGGUAUGGCUCUUCUCAUAUUGGCGCUACUGCAAAGGAUAUUUCUAAUGUCGUCACUGAUGCUGCUUCUGGUGUGGUUGAUAUUUUUCAUGGUAUUGAUAAAGCUGUUGCCGAUACUUGGAACAAUUUCUGGAAAGACGGUAAAGCUGAUGGUAUUGGCUCUAAUUUGUCUAGGAAAUAACCGUCAGGAUUGACACCCUCCCAAUUGUAUGUUUUCAUGCCUCCAAAUCUUGGAGGCUUUUUUAUGGUUCGUUCUU